rnacentral:rRNA from 1 species
CAAUAGCGUAUAUUAAAGUUGUUGCGGUUAAAAAGCUCGUAGUUGGAUUUCUGGCUUGGACGACCGGUCCGUGCUAUGCAUGAGUAUCUGGUUCGGCCUAGCCAUCUUGCUAGAGAACGCGUGCGUACUUCACUGUAUGUCGUGGUAUCUAGCCUUUUACUUUGAGGAAAUGAGAGUGUUCCAAGCAGGCAUCCGCCUUGAAUACGUUAGCAUGGAAUAAUAAUAUAGGAUUACGGUCCGUUUUUAUCGGUUUAGCGGCCGUGAUAAUGAUUAAUAGGAACAGUCGGGGGCAUUUGUAUUUAACUGUCAGAGGUGAAAUUCUUGGAUUUGUUAAAGACAAACUACUGCGAAAGCAUUUGCCAAGGAUGUUUUCAUUGA